AAAGUGUGUAGCACCUCUCCCUUCACUCUCUUUCUCCUGUUUGGCCGUGUACCAAGUUCCUGCCUGUCUUCUGUCUUCACCCGUGACUUGCCUCAAGUAGUUGGCUCCUUUCCCACCGGCUACUUUGUAACUGCGAAUAUGACAACAUGACGGUGAUUCACAGAUGCCAAAAUAUGACGAGCAGAGCAAAUCUGUGUUCCAGAUAUGAUAAGGUUGAAUUUGGUGAGAGGCCCAAGAGCCCAUGCUGAGUCUCGUCCUUCUAAAGCCCUUCACUAAGCAUUGUGUUGUUCAGUGAAUGUUCCUCCUCUGGAUUCACAUUACUACUCACUAGCACCUCAUUUGACGGUGGAUGUAGACUCAUUUGCAUGCUUAUUUCCUGUUUUAUGUUUAUGCCGACCUUCUUAAAUAAAAUAAAUCCUUUAUGAGUUCUACCUCAUUUUAUUCCCCUUUUUCACCACUUUGACCAUACUGAUUCC
rnacentral:lncRNA from 1 species